CAAGGCAAUUAAAAUGUUUUGUAAUUGGAAUGAUAGAAAUUUAAACCCUUUUUAAAGUAUCAAUUGGAGGGCAAGUCUGGUGCCAGCAGCCGCGGUAAUUCCAGCUCCAAUAGCGUAUAUUAAACUUGUUGCAGUUAAAAAGCUCGUAGUUGAAUCUCACGUCCCGCCCUAGUGUUCCUCACUUGGCGGACGCCUCGUUACUUUGAGAAAAUUAGAGUGUUUCAAGCAGGUUUCGCCUGUAUAAUUGAGCAUGGAAUAACCUUGUAUGACCCUGUCGUACUGUUGGUUGGCUUUGGGUAAUGGUUAAUAGGAACGGUUGGGGGCAUUCGUACUCGACUGUCAGAGGUGAAAUUCUUAGAUUUGUCGAUGACGCACGACUGCGAAAGCAUUUGCCAAGGACGCUUCCAUUAAUCAAGAAC
rnacentral:rRNA from 1 species